UACGGGGGGGGCAAGCGUUGUUCGGAAUUACUGGGCGUAAAGGGCUCGUAGGCGGCCAACUAAGUCAGACGUGAAAGCCCCCGGCUCAACCGGGGAAGUGCAUCUGAAACUGGCGAGCUAGAGUACGAAAGAGGGUCGCGGAAUUCCCGGUGUAGAGGUGAAAUUCGUAGAUAUCGGGAGGAACACCGGUGGCGAAGGCGGCGACCUGGGUCGAUACUGACGCUGAGGUGCGAAAGCGUGGGGAGCAAACAGG
rnacentral:rRNA from 1 species